CUCGUAGGCGGCUUGUCGCGUCUGCUGUGAAAACGCGGGGCUUAACUCCGCGCGUGCAGUGGGUACGGGCAGGCUAGAGUGUGGUAGGGGUGACUGGAAUUCCUGGUGUAGCGGUGGAAUGCGUAGAUAUUAGGAGGAACGCCAGUGGCGAAGGCGGCUUACUGGACGGUAACUGACGUUGAGGCUCGAGAGCGUGGGGAGCAAACA
rnacentral:rRNA from 1 species